rnacentral:rRNA from 1 species
UACAGAGGGUGCGAGCGUUGUUCGGAAUUAUUGGGCGUAAAGCGCUUGUAGGCGGCUUGUUAAGUUCCGUGUGAAAUCCCUCGGCUUAACCGAGGAACUGCCCACCAAACUGCUUGGCUUGAGUCCGGGAGAGGUGAGUGGAAUUCCCCAGUGUAGCGGUGAAAUGCGUAGAUAUUGGGAGGAACACCAGUGGCGAAGGCGGCUCACUGGACCGGAACUGACGCUGAGGCGCGAAAGCGUGGGGAGCAAACGGG